rnacentral:rRNA from 1 species
GGAUUAGAUACCCUGGUAGUCCACGCCGUAAACGAUGUGUGCUAGAUGUCUGAUGAUUUAUCAUUGGGUAUCGCAGCUAACGCGUUAAGCACACCGCCUGGGGAGUACGGUCGCAAGACUAAAACUCAAAGGAAUUGACGGGGGCCCGCACAAGCGGUGGAGCAUGUGGUUUAAUUCAAAGCAGCGCGAAGAACCUUACCAACCUUUGACAUCCCGAUCGGGAGGAGCAGAGAUGCACCUCUUCAUUUAGUUGGAUCGGUGACAGGUGCUGCACGGCUGUCGUCAGCUCGUGUCG